rnacentral:rRNA from 1 species
AUGCAUGUCUAGUAUAAGCAACUAUACAGUGAAACUGCGAAUGGCUCAUUAAAUCAGUUAUCGUUUAUUUGAUAGUACCUUACUACUUGGAUAACCGUGGUAAUUCUAGAGCUAAUACAUGCUAAAAAUCCCGACCUCCGGAAGGGAUGUAUUUAUUAGAUAAAAAACCAAUGCCUUCGGGCUCCUUGGUGAUUCAUGAUAACUUAACGAAUCGCAUGGCCUUGCGCCGGCGAUGGUUCAUUCAAAUUUCUGCCCUAUCAACUUUCGAUGGUAGGAUAGUGGCCUACCAUGGUUUCAACGGGUAACGGGGAAUUAGGGUUCGAUUCCGGAGAGGGAGCCUGAGAAACGGCUACCACAUCCAAGGAAGGCAGCAGGCGCGCAAAUUACCCAAUCCCGAUUCGGGGAGGUAGUGACAAUAAAUACUGAUACAGGGCUCUUUUGGGUCUUGUAAUUGGAAUGAGUACAAUUUAAAUCCCUUAACGAGGAACAAUUGGAGGGCAAGUCUGGUGCCAGCAGCCGCGGUAAUUCCAGCUCCAAUAGCGUAUAUUAAAGUUGUUGCAGUUAAAAAGCUCGUAGUUGAACCUUGGGUUUGGCUGCUCGGUCCGCCUAACCGCGUGCACUGAUGCGGCCGGAUCUUUCCUUCUGGCUAACCUCAUGCCCUUUACUGGGUGUGCUGGGGAUCCAGGACUUUUACUUUGAAAAAAUUAGAGUGUUCAAAGCAGGCCUUUGCUCGAAUACAUUAGCAUGGAAUAAUAGAAUAGGACGGCGGUUCUAUUUUGUUGGUUUCUAGAGCCACCGUAAUGAUUAAUAGGGAUAGUCGGGGGCAUCAGUAUUCAAUUGUCAGAGGUGAAAUUCUUGGAUUUAUUGAAGACUAACUACUGCGAAAGCAUUUGCCAAGGAUGUUUUCAUUAAUCAGUGAACGAAAGUUAGGGGAUCGAAGACGAUCAGAUACCGUCGUAGUCUUAACCAUAAACUAUGCCGACUAGGGAUCGGGCGGUGUUCAACUUAUGACCCGCUCGGCACCUUACGAGAAAUCAAAGUUUUUGGGUCUGGGA